UGAACUUGCUCUAUUUAUCCGUCGUCAAGUUCUAAGGUUGUCGUGUAUUAAAGUUCCAACACUAUGAUGACGUCACGGCCUCCAUUUUCCCUGUCGUCUGUGAAGGCUGCCGAGACAGCGCUGUAUUUUUCUUGUUUUUUUAGGUUAUUAUAAAGUGCCCGGAAGCGCCAUGCUGUGGGAAGACAUAAGAAGAAGAGGAGGAAGAACAAGAGGAGGAGGAGGAGGAGGAUGAAGGGGACACACAGGAAUCAAAUGGUUGGUGUAGCAGUGCUGGGAGGUGCCAUAACACAGGGCACUCCUCACCUCAACAACAGUCUCUUCACCGACAAGUAAUUCUUCACCAACAAGCUUUUCAGCAGCUUGGAGAAAUAGAGGAAGAAGAGGAGGAAGAAGAAGAGAAGAUGAAGAGGAAGAAGAGGAGGAGGAUAAGGACUUGGUUGGUGUAGCAGUGCUGGGAGGUGCCAUAACACAGGGCACUCCUCACCUCAACAACAGUCUCUUCACCGACAAGUAAUUCUUCACCAACAAGCUUUUCAGCAGCUUGGAGAAAUAGACACUACCAAACGAAGAAGAGGAGGAGGAGGAGGAAGAAGAAGACGAGGAACACAGGAGGAACCCAUUGACACUACCAAACGAAGAAGAGGAGGAGGAGGAGGAAGAAGAAGACGAGGAACACAGGAGGAGCCCAUUGAGACAAGAAGAAGAAGAAGAGGAAGAGGAAGACUGACAGACAGACAUUCCAUUGAGUGUGCGGUGUCCAUGAGCAGGCAGACCGAGACGCCAGCCAUUCAAUUCUGCCGAGGGAAGGAAGUCGUGUUAGUCAACUAUGAUGACUUGUACUUUUCUCUGCAAGGGACUGUUCUGUAAGCCAGUCACAGAAGAUGUGAACUGUAUCUGUACUAUGAAGUCUUAUAAAUAAAGUUAAAGGCUACA